rnacentral:rRNA from 1 species
AUUGAACGCUGGCGGCAUGCCUUACACAUGCAAGUCGAACGGCAGCACGGGGGCAACCCUGGUGGCGAGUGGCGAACGGGUGAGUACUGCAUCGGAAUGUACCCAGUAGUGGGGGGAUAACUAGUCGAAAGACUAGCUAAUACCGCAUACGCACUGAGGGUGAAAGCGGGGGAUCGCAAGACCUCGCGCUACUGGAGCGGCCGAUAUCAGAUUAGCUAGUUGGUGGGGUAAAGGCCUACCAAGGCAACGAUCUGUAGUUGGUCUGAGAGGACGACCAGCCACACUGGGACUGAGACACGGCCCAGACUCCUACGGGAGGCAGCAGUGGGGAAUUUUGGACAAUGGGCGCAAGCCUGAUCCAGCAAUGCCGCGUGCAGGAAGAAGGCC